GUAAGAGUUUGAGCAGGAACCUGCCCCAUUUACAUACGUUAAAAUAAGUAUUUUAACAAAGAAUUCUGUGUUCUGGCUAAUUCUUCAUUCAGUGCCCUGGUCAGCUCUGAAAUACCAUCAAGGAGAAGUUUGGCCUCGUCAGGGAGAGGUCACAACUACAAAGGAGCAGAGGCAAGGGAGAAAGGAGCAAGCACGACGGGAUUUUUCUGAGUGCCGUAGAUCAGUGGGUUGGUCCCUCCGUGCUUCCCACGCUCUUUUUGUUGCAUUCCUGAAAGAAACAUGAUGUAGGAGGCUGCUGCGAAUCGAACAAAGUGUCCCGAAACGGCGGUGGCGUGAGUGGGGCUCCCUGCGGUUACGCUCCACCUCCUGUGAACCAGCAGAGAGGAAGCAAGCCACAAGUAAUACGAGGAAUUAUUUACACUGACUAUAUAUUUACACUGCAAUGAUCCCUGCUUCUCACGUGUGGCAUUACUCUCACUAGAAGAUGUCUGGGCUAUUGUAGCAGGGAGGGAAACUGAGGCAGCCAGCUUUGGUCCUUGGCUUGAGGAACAAGGAUGAUUGGGCUGAGUCAAUGGGGAGACCUGAGGCCCAGACAGCGUGGGUCCCAAGCCUCUGCGGGCAGGAAGAUGUGUGUCUGCUGCUCUCCUGACAAUGAAACCAGCUGUGUGUCUUGCUGCUAGCUUGACCGCUGCUUCUAAAUUUGAUCCUGGUGCAUGGAAAAACUUGUCAUCUCGUAAAACAGCUGGCUGGAGAAGCGAGCUGGCAGGCCGCAGCGGGGAGCGGUGUCCAGCGCGCAUCAUGCUUUGGCAUGUCCAACUCAGCGCCACUAGCUGCCUUGGAAGGUUUCCUGAAAUACUUGCUUUUUAUGAAAAAACCACUGCCUCUGUUGAAGCACAUCGCUCUCUCACAACCUCUCUGAAGUUAACUGGGCUGUGGGGCUGGAGCAGGCAAACAGCUGUACCUCGUGGUAACGCAGCGUGCUUGGUCAGGAUGAAAUUCAGACUGUGCUUUCCUGCUUUUAUCUGUCUCUGAACAGCCAUAAAUAGCCACGACCUGGCAACUAAAUUCAUGGAGAAGGCUUCUAGGAAAGCCUGCAAUGCACGUUGCCUUCAGGAGCCCGAUAGCCUUAUGGUAUCUGUGAAUGCUGGAGAGCCCGACCUCAGCUGAGACACCUGCGUUUCGGUUUUUCUCAAAAGCAUGACAUGGGUGUAUAAUACCUCGUAGCUGACUCAGCUCACUGAACAGCUUAUCUCAGGGGUGAAUUAAAGCAAAUCAAAGCUGGGAAAUGGUUCAGGAAGAUAGCAAUGGUAAUCAGUGAUAAGGUAUUUACAUUUAAGAUAAAAAAAAAAAAGGUUUGUUUCGGUUUUGUGUGUAAUUUUUUUGUAUUAGCUCCUAAGCAAGUGGUUAGACUUCAAGGUUCACGAGCUGCCUUGCAGCAUCUCCUUCUCAGCAUGGGAUGAUGGCAACUGGGGAACUCUGGCCAGUAUUCAAGGCUCUAAAACGUGCUGGAUGAGGUAUGGUGAUGUCUCCCAGCAUUGCCCAACUGCUGACCGCAAGUGAUCGCAUCCUGUAGUCACGUUUGACUUCUGCAAGGUUGAUGACAAAGAGCUCGAUGGGAUAGGGACUGACCCUGAUGUCAUGAUGACCAAACGAGGAUGUUUCUAUUUUAGUCUGGUUAUUUAUUUAUUUAUUUUUAACAGAUGAGGCCUGCUAAUAUGGGGUAAACAAGGAUUUUCCCCAGCGUGUGAGUAGUUGGAAAAAUAGCCAUGUGCGUGCUUUGCAACUCAAUUGACCUCUCAAUUAAAUUACUCUUGAGUAA